rnacentral:rRNA from 1 species
UACGGAGGGUGCAAGCGUUAUCCGGAUUUACUGGGUUUAAAGGGUGCGUAGGCGGGCCUUUAAGUCAGUGGUGAAAUCCCCGGGCCUAACCCGGGAACUGCCAUUGAUACUAUAGGUCUUGAAUUCAGUUGAGGUGGGCGGAAUGUGUCGUGUAGCGGUGAAAUGCUUAGAUAUGACACAGAACACCGAUUGCGAAGGCAGCUCGCUAAACUGACAUUGACGCUGAGGCACGAAAGCGUGGGGAUCAAACAGG